UGAUAAGGGUGAUCGCCGAUAUGUAAUGCAUGGCGAAUCUCCAUGAACAGAACAGAGGAAGAUCAAUUUGUCGAGAUAUCGUUUCAGUCGCCAUUUCAGCCAUUGGUGAUUCGAUUGUUGCUCGCCAACAU